rnacentral:rRNA from 1 species
UACGAACUGUGCGAACGUUAUUCGGAAUCACUGGGCUUAAAGGGCGCGUAGGCGGGCUGACAAGUCUGGGGUGAAAUGCCGCGGCUCAACCGUGGAACUGCCUUAGAUACUGUCGGCCUCGAGGAAGGUAGGGGCAUGCGGAACUGUAGGUGGAGCGGUGAAAUGCGUUGAUAUCUACAGGAACUCCGGUGGCGAAAGCGGCGUGCUGGACCUUUUCUGACGCUGAGGCGCGAAAGCUAGGGGAGCAAACGGG